rnacentral:rRNA from 1 species
AUUGAACGCUGGCGGCAGGCCUAACACAUGCAAGUCGAACGAGUGGCGGACGGGUGAGUAAUGUCUGGGAAACUGCCCGAUGGAGGGGGAUAACUACUGGUAACGGUAGCUAAUACCGCAUACCAUCAGAUAUGCCUAGAUGGGAUUAGCUAGUUGGUGGGGUAACGGCUCACCUAGGCGACGAUCCCUAGCUGGUCUGAGAGGAUGACCAGCCAGACUGGAACUGUGACACGGUCCAAGCGCCUACGGGAGGCAGCAGUAGGGAAACUGGCACAAGGGGCGCAAGCCAGAUGCAGCCAUGCCGCGUGUAUGAAGAAGGCCUUCGGGUUGUAAAAUACUGUCAGCCGGGAGGCGUUACCCACAGAAGAAGCACCGGCUAACUCCGUGCCAGCAGCCGCGGUAAUAC